CCUGGCUCAGAUUGAACGCUGGCGGCAGGCCUAACACAUGCAAGUCGAGCGGUAACACAGGGAGCUUGCUCCUGGGUGACGAGCGGCGGACGGGUGAGUAAUGUCUGGGAAACUGCCUGAUGGAGGGGGAUAACUACUGGAAACGGUAGCUAAUACCGCAUAACGUCGAAAGACCAAAGAGGGGGACCUUCGGGCCUCUUGCCAUCAGAUGUGCCCAGAUGGGAUUAGCUAGUAGGUGAGGUAACGGCUCACCUAGGCGACGAUCCCUAGCUGGUCUGAGAGGAUGACCAGCCACACUGGAACUGAGACACGGUCCAGACUCCUACGG
rnacentral:rRNA from 1 species